CACGUAGGGUGCGAGCGUUGUCCGGAAUUAUUGGGCGUAAAGAGCUCGUAGGCGGUGUGUCGCGUCGGCCGUGAAAACCUGCAGCUUAACUGUGGGCUUGCGGUCGAUACGGGCAUCACUGGAGUUCGGCAGGGGAGACUGGAAUUCCUGGUGUAGCGGUGAAAUGCGCAGAUAUCAGGAGGAACACCGGUGGCGAAGGCGGGUCUCUGGGCCUGUUCUGACGCUGAGGCGCGAAAGCUAGGGGAGCGAACAGG
rnacentral:rRNA from 1 species